UCAAGUUGGCCGAGAAAAUCUCCGCUGAAAAUUAGCCACACUAAACUGCUAGCCAGGGGAUUGUUGUCAUGGCCCAAGUGUCUUGGGCCAAGACAAGCGAAAGCCAAGGCCAAAGCUCACAAUUACAAUACCCAAACACAGACACACACGGACACAUAUGCAGUUCCUUUUGGGAGCCAAAUUUAUCCUGGGCACGCAUAGCUAAGAUGGUGGGUGUGUGACUCGAGCCCAGCACGCCAACGCAUAUUGGCUGUAAAGCCACACGGCAGAGGCACGGCAGGACUGGCCCACAGUCCCGUAGGCUGAGGCCAAAAAACUCUUAAGCUUAGCGCCAAACUUUGUGGCAUUGUUGUGUGUCCUUGGAGAAUUAUGCAGGGAGCAGGGAGCAGCAACAACAACAACUAGAGGGAAAGUGGCCACAACUACAGCUGCUCUAUAUUCAACAAAGUGUCUGAGUGUGUGUGUGUGUUUCAUGUAUUUUAUAUUGGAGCAGCGGCGCUAUUACGACAUUUCCCAGGCGUGCUUACGACCACUGGCUCUGGUUUAGAGAAGCUGCUGCAAAUUCUACG